rnacentral:rRNA from 1 species
UGGCGGACGGGUGAGUAAUGUCUGGGAAACUGCCUGAUGGAGGGGGAUAACUACUGGAAACGGUAGCUAAUACCGCAUAACGUCGCAAGACCAAAGAGGGGGACCUUCGGGCCUCUUGCCAUCGGAUGUGCCCAGAUGGGAUUAGCUAGUAGGUGGGGUAACGGCUCACCUAGGCGACGAUCCCUAGCUGGUCUGAGAGGAUGACCAGCCACACUGGAACUGGGACACGGUCCAG